GCGCACCAGUCGCGAAUUUUCUCAAUGGGGAAACCCUGAAGGAGCGACGCCGCGUGGAGGAUGAAGGUCUUCGGGUUGUAAACUCCUGUCAUUUGGGAACAAGUCGCUUACGUUAACUGCGUGAGCGUUGAUAGUACCAGAAGAGGAAGAGACGGCUAACUCUGUGCCAGCAGCCGCGGUAAUACAGAGGUCUCAAGCGUUGUUCGGAUUCAUUGGGCGUAAAGGGUGUGUAGGUGGCGCCGUAAGUCGGGUGUGGAAAUCUCGGGGCUUAACUCCGAAACUGCAUUCGAUACUGCGGUGCUUGAGGACUGGAGAGGAGACUGGAAUUCAUGGUGUAGCAGUGAAAUGCGUAGA
rnacentral:rRNA from 1 species